GGGAGACAAACGUCAGCAAAUGAAAUAGGUAUUAAGACUUCCACACAUCACAAUAUCAACAUAAUGACACAUCCUGCUGACAAUGUGAAAGCUGUGAUGUACAUAUCUGACACCUCCCCUUUUCAUUUUACUGUGACAGUGAUGUGCUCAUGUCCACAGGUGCUGAACUAACAGGGUCUGAAAGUAAAACUAGUAGUGAGUCUGACAUCUAAACUUCUUUAAUAUGAUGUUCAUGGUCUUCAUGUUUUGUUUCCUUCAUCUGCCGGGGAAUAACGGCGUCUCUCAUACCGCCAGUGUCCUCCAAACACCUCCAUUCAUCAUUAAGAGAACUGGUGAAUCUGUUGUCAGUGAGAUCUACUGCUCACACAGCAUAACAAAUUAUGAUAACAUUCUCUGGUACAAACAGGACAAAUACAAAUCUCUGAAGUUUCUGGGAUAUCUAAACCUGAACUUCCAAAACCCUGAGGAAGACGUGAAAGGAAAAAUCAGCUUUGAUGGAGAUGGCCGUAAACAUUCAAACCUGACUAUAUCUAAUGUUUCAUUAAGUGACAGUGCUGUGUAUUUCUGUGCUGCCAGUUAGCACAGUGCUGCAGAUUCCCCUCAGCUCACUACAAAAACCCUUCAUCUGUUUGACAGGCAGACAAAAUGUUCAGGCUCUUCAACACCUGCAGCCUGACUUCAACUAAACCAAG